AGUGGUAACACAUGUAUAGCCACAUUACACAUGUUACAUAUAGUUGUUACACGUGUUACAACAAAACUUUACACAAGUACACAUGUUAUAACAUAUACUGAUGUACUUGUUUUGUUCAUACACUACUAGAAAAUAGGCCUAAUGCAACUUUAUAAAAGCAACCUUUUAUAAACGAGUUGCAUUUGACUCUAAUGCAACUUCUUUGAACGUAAAGGUUGCAUUAGAAUAUCGUAUGUAGCCUUUUUUCAUAAAAAGUUACAAAACCAUAUUGAAUUUGCAACCUUUUUACUCAAAAGUUGCAAUUAGUAGUAAAAACUGCAACCUUUUUCUUGAAAGGUUGCAAAUUUUAUUGGAAUUUGCAACUUUUGUUAGAAAGUUGCAUCGAUCAUGCAACUGAUUUAUAAAUAUUGCAAAUAAUGUCAUCCCAAUUUUAUAUAAGUGACAUUUACAUCAAAUCCAACAAAGAAUUGUGUGUGCAGAGAGAAACAAGACUUGCCAAGUAACAAAGACCAACACUAUUGUGUCCAUACAUCAAGAGCGUGGCCUCGUUCAGGGCCGGCUCUGGGGUUGACAAACCUGUGCCAUCGCCCGAGACCCAAAUUUUCAAAGGGCCCAAAAAGUUUUUACAAGAUUUUAUAUAUAUGUUAAAUUACAUAUUUAGUAUAUUCAUCUAUUUAUUAUGGAAAAAAAGUAUUAGUAGUGGAGUGAAAAAAAAAACUAUCUGAAUAUAAUGUAGAGGUUUCAAGUUCAAGACUCCUCCACCAAGGUUUUAUUCUUUUUAAUUCAUUUUCCAUUAAUCAUAAUUUUUGGCCCAAAUCUUUUUGUCGCCCGAAGCCUAAAUUUUUUUGAGAGUUCUCAGGGACGACUCUGGUCUCGUUUGGUUAAUGGUAAACCCAAGGUUUUAAAAAACGGUUUAAAUCGGCCGGUUAAACCGAAUGCCGAAAGCUUGCCCGGCACGAAUCUUACCGGUAAAUUGGGAGAACGGCAAAGAAGUUGUACCGCCGGUAAAUUGGGUUAUACCGAUUUAAACUGGUAUACCGGUACCGGGACAAGGUUACAAUUUGGAUUUUUAAUUUUUUAUGGGCCCAAAAAGGUAACGAUUUACCAUCUUAGUAACACCUAGCCCCUACAAUCCACUUUGAUCAAACUUCAUUCACAAUCUUUUUUAUUAUGGAUUAACUUUUAGAAUAUUUUUUUCUAAUCUUGGAAUGAUGUUGUUUUGGAUUAUUUUUUGCGUUGAAAUUGUUUUUUUAUAGAUUUAUAUGGUUAAUUAGUUGACCCGGUUCAACCGCCUGGUACAAACCGAUUGAACCGGUUAAAUCAUUUUUGAGUCUAACCCGAUAUAAUUUAAAAACCGAUUUUUAAAAGAUUGGGUAAACCAUAACCAAACAACAUAAUCAUAGUCAAACUUAAUCGAGUUCGGUUUAAUUGAAAUUUGCAAAUCAUAAUACUGAUUUAGUUUACAAACAAAACUUAUGUGAAAAUAAAAAAUAUAAAACAAUAUUUUCAUUAUUUAUAAAUAAUAUUUUUUUUACCAUAGCUAAAAAAAAUACAUAUUAAAACCAUAAUCUUCACUAAACAACGUUUUAUAACUUCCAUAAUGGAUAGGUUUGAUAUAAACUAAAUAAUGAUUUUAUUUCAGUUUCCGUAUCAAAUCCUAAACACAUAUUUGGUUCCCAAAAAUUUUAAUUUCCCUCUCAUUCUCACGUUUAGAAUUGGAAGUCAUCUCCCCAUCAGUCCACCACCCACCCCAAUCGGUUCUCUCCCUCAACCUCCAUGGAUCGUCUUAUUCGAUAGAUUCCGAUCCCCCAGACCUGAUACCCAACCAGAUCCACCGUAAUCGCCGCUGAGUGAUCGACGAACCACCACUGCAUCACAAGACGACCCCUCAUAACCGCUCGAUCGGAUCCUUUUUCGCGACUCCUCGCUUCAGUUCUCACUUCAGCCCUGAGAAGGUUUUAGAAGGAAGCUACUUAUUGGCUGCAAGUGAUAAAUAACCAGGAGCAUUGUUGCCAUGUCAAGGAAAUGUAUAUGUCUUAAAAUAUCGCACACAACAGGUCAAAAAGGUUUUGCUAGGAUACAUGCAUAGAUGGAAAAAAAUGAAUACCUAUUCAAGGAUUUUCCUACUUUAACCAAACAUACACGUAGAAGAAUACAAGGACGUGUAUAUGUUGAUACAGAUGAUCACACGACAAGGAAAAUUUACAAAUGAACAACUACAAGCCUAGCUAUAGAGGAUGGCAACGCUGUGUUAAAUCCUUUAUUGGUUGUAAUGAACGAAGAGAACUAUGGAUAUCUCUAAUUCUUUGGUAGAGAUGGUGCUUACACAUCAUACAUGAUUCCAGAGGGGGUGAUGGAAUCAUUCAAAGCAAACGUUGAAGUUGAGAAAAACCAGAAAUGCACAAAAAGAUUGAAGAGGAUCACGAAAGAAAAGAAGACAAGCUCAAACCUAUGCGAAAAGAUAUUGACGGCCAGCGACAACUUGAAAGCUAUUAUGCCGAAGGUAAUGAAACAACUACGAGUUGGAGAUCAAGAUGACUAGAUUGUUUUCAUUAUUCUUUUAUUAUUGUAAUUGAUUAAUACUUUGUGUUGACUAUAUUGUUAUUUAAGUUUGGACAAAUAUGUUAAAAGUACACUAUUUCGCUAUUAAUGAUAUUUGUAUUAUUUUUGUUUUGUUG